UUGUAGCUUUCAAUGUAGAUAUUUGCUUUAUGUUUGAUUUUAAUACCCAAUUGUAGCCGAUGAGUAUUAUUACAUUUUGGGAUAAUUUUGUUGCUCAUUUGGUUUUUGGUAUGGGUUUUUGAGAAGUAUGUAUACAAGUCACUGUAGAAACUUAUAAUUUACAUUACAAGGGUUUCAAAUAAAAAAUUAAGGAACAUUUACAGCUUAAACGAGACAUACCAAGUGUGUGCAAGUUAGUUUUCGAAGGUUAAUGUAAAGAAUAGAAAGACUUGGAAGCUAUGAAACAGAGUAUAUUUCAGUUCUCUUUCAAAAACCAACUCCCAAAUAUGCAUAAUGAAAAUUCAAGACCAAACAAAAUCCACACAGACCCUGGACUCCAAUGGAUUUUCUACAACUGUCUCUUCAGUUCUUUGAUUAUUCUGCUUCUGUAUGCUAAAAUCAUCUUUCAAUGGUUUUCUCACAGCAUUACAUGAUGAAGAAGUUAUGAUAGAAGAGGGAGGAUAUGCUGCUAAUAUAGCUGAAGCACCACGCUUAUGAUGUCGGACUAGUUCUGAAGCUAGAAGCAUAAGAGAAGCCAUGGAAAUUGAUACAAACUCAAUAUAUAUUAAGAGUAAUGUGAUUUUAUGUUUUGAUGGGUGAUGAAGCUGAGAAAUUGUCAGAUAUAUAUACAUAUACAUAAAUGUGAAGCUUAUAAAGAGGGGUGAUGUUAAUGUGAUAGGUUUAAGAGGACACAAAAUGAAGUUGUU
rnacentral:lncRNA from 1 species